rnacentral:rRNA from 1 species
CAGUCGCCGCGGUAAUACAGAGGAUGCAAGCGUUAUCCGGAAUGACUGGGCGUAAAGCGUCUGUAGGUGGCUUUUCAAGUCCGCCAUCAAAUCCCAGGGCUCAACCCUGGAUAGGCGGUGGACACUACCAAGCUGGAGUACGGUAGGGGCAAAGGGAAUUUCCGGUGGAGCGGUGAAAUGCGUUGAGAUCGGAAAGAACACCAACGGCGAAAGAACUCUGCUGGGCCGACACUGACACUGACAGACGAAAGCUAGGGGAGCAAAUGGGAUUAGAUACCCCGGUAGUCCCUGUCUCUUAUAC